CCCUGGCUCAGGACGAACGCUGGCGGCGUGCCUAAUACAUGCAAGUCGAGCGGAUUUAUCCUUCGGGAUAAGUUAGCGGCGGACGGGUGAGUAACACGUAGGUAACCUGCCUAUAAGAUCGGGAUAACUAUCGGAAACGAUAGCUAAGACCGGAUAAUUGGUUUUCUCGCAUGAGAGAAUUAUGAAACACGGAGCAAUCUGUGGCUUAUAGAUGGGCCUGCGGCGCAUUAGCUAGUUGGUAGGGUAACGGCUCACCAAGGCGACGAUGCGUAGCCGACCUGAGAGGGUGAACGGCCACACUGGGACUGAGACACGGCCCAGACUCCUACGGGAGGCAGCAGUAGGGAAUCUUCCGCAAUGGACGCAAGUCUGACGGAGCAACGCCGCGUGAGUGAUGAAGGUUUUCGGAUCGUAAAGCUCUGUUGCCCUAGACGAACAGCAAGAGGAGUAACUGCCUUUUGUGUGACGGUAUAGGAGAAGAAAGCCCCGGCU
rnacentral:rRNA from 1 species